GAUCAUGGCUCAGAUUGAACGCUGGCGGCAGGCCUAACACAUGCAAGUCGAGCGCGAAAGGCUUUCGGGCUGAGUAGAGCGGCGGACGGGUGAGUAACGCGUAGGAAUCUACCUGGUAGUGGGGGACAACUUGGGGAAACUCGAACUAAUACCGCAUACGCCCUACGGGGGAAAGCGGGGGACCUUCGGGCCUCGCGCUAUCAGAUGAGCCUGCGUAGGAUUAGCUUGUUGGUGAGGUAAAGGCUCACCAAGGCGACGAUCCUUAGCUGGUCUGAGAGGAUGAUCAGCCACACUGGAACUGAGACACGGUCCAGACUCCUACGGGAGGCAGCAGUGGGGAAUAUUGCGCAAUGGGCGAAAGCCUGACGCAGCCAUGCCGCGUGUGUGAAGAAGGCCCUUGGGUUGUAAAGCACUUUCAAUUGGGAAGAAAGGUUGCGUGUUAAUAGCACGUAGCUGUGACGUUACCUUUAGAAGAAGCACCGGCUAACUCCGUG
rnacentral:rRNA from 1 species